rnacentral:snoRNA from 1 species
UAAGGGCCUCAGGGUAACAUCCAUGUGAACAGAGAAUGCACCCUGUCCUCACACUGUGGACACCGGAGGUCUCUGUCUGACUUGGGACAGCCGUGAAGUCUGAUCAUCUCCUCUGAACUGA